rnacentral:rRNA from 1 species
UAUCUCUGUAGAGUCUGCAUAUCAAUAAGCGGAGGAAAAGAAACUAACAAGGAUUCCCCUAGUAACGGCGAGUGAAGCGGGAAGAGCUCAAAUUUGAAAUCUUAAAGGUUUCCCUUGACGAAUUGUAGUUUAAAGAAGUGUUUUCGGUUAGAGGAGUCUCGUAAAAGUUCUUUGGAAUAGGACAUCAUAGAGGGUGAGAAUCCCGUAUUUGACCGUUAUCUUUCUAGCUGUGUGAUACACUUUCAAAGAGUCGGAUUGUUUGGGAAUGCAGUCCAAAAUGGGUGGUAAAUUUCAUCUAAAGCUAAAUAUUGGCGAGAGACCGAUAGCGAACAAGUACCGUGAGGGAAAGAUGAAAAGAACUUUGAAAAGAGAGUUAAACAGGUACGUGAAAUUGUCAAAAGGGAAGCGUUUGACACCAGUGUUGUUUUCCUCGAAAAUCAAUUAAAAAAGGACUGGAUUUUGUGUUGUAUUGACUUUAUCAGCUUUCUGCACUCUUUUCUUGUCUUUUUUAAUGCACUUCUCGUUUAACAAGUCAACAUCAAUUUCUUUUGUUGUAAAAGGGUCAUUGGAAGGUGGCUUUCCUUUCGGAGAAAGUGUUUAUAGCCUUUGGCCUCUGCAAUCGGAGAGAUUGAGGUCUGCAGCGUAGAUCCUUCGGGGUUAGAUACAUUUGUGCUAAGUUGUAGCCUUUCAUAGACAACUUGUUGACUAUGAUCAGUCAUGUAGCUUACUCGCUUAUGCUAUUUUACCUACGCUUAGGAUGUUGAUCUACAGAGCGAGAGU